UUCUAAUAGAGAAGAAGAAGAAGAGCGCUAGUUCAAGAUGAGCAUUUAUGGUUAAAACGUAUAUAAUUUUAAAUUUUUUUUAGAAAAUGAGCGAUGGUUUCUUUAGAUAAGACCCUUAUUCCUCGUCUGGUAUCGUUUAAAGCCCUUUGAAGCUGCACUGAAACUGUGAUUUUGACCUUCAACUGUUUGGAGGCCACUGAAGUCCACUAUAAGGAGAAAAAUCCUGGAAUGUUUUCAUCAAAAACCUUCAUUUCUUUUCGACCGAAGAGAGAAAGACAUGGACAUCUUGAAUGACAUGGGGGAAACUGGAAGUAAAGCACUAUCCCUAAUAGAAAUGCCAAAAAGUUAUCGUUUAUGCCACGUGGCUACUUUCACUUGAUUGUGCAGCACGUAUCAGAAGAUUAUUACAGAGGCAGCUGCGUUGAUGGAGGAAUUUGCAGCUUUACUCGGAAAUACGAUUCCCAAUCAUCAAUGAGGAAGGAGUGGAUGAAGAAAGGAUGAAGAAAGCUUUAUGCUGCUGGAUGACAUGAGCAUUGCUGCGCUAAUAACAGCAACUGCUCUCAGGGUUAAAUUCAAGAAAUUUCAUUCAGAACUUUUGGAAGUAAGUUUAUACUAGCUAAACAAUGACUGGGUUUUUGAUCACUUGUUUGUUGACUUGUUUCAAGUGCAAUAAGGGAAUUUCAAGGGAAACAAAAUAACUUUUUGAGAACAAAAGCAGUCCAGGACACUUUUCAAUAUGUUCCUUUGCAGCCUAUCCUUAAAAAACACUAGAAAGACCAGGUACCAUGGAAAAAAAAUCUUUCUCAGAAGCAAAAUAAAGAUGUUGCCUUCAUUGGUUACAUUGAAGGUGUGCUGUACAAAACCAGCCACCUGUUUUCCAAAGAAAUCUCUAUUCCGCUGUCGCUGUGUAAUGACGACUGUGAAACUGUGAAUCCCAUCGGUUCCAAGACUUCAAUUCAAAAACUGGGACUAAUUUACUUCCAGUAGAAAUGUUUACCACUUGAGAAGCUGUCUUCCAUGUCAGCAUGCUUUCUGUUGGCUUUGUUCAAGCCAGAGGACAUCAAGACAUAAGGCAUGGAUGCAGUUUUUGAAUGCAUAGUUAAAGAUUUGAGGGAUUUAAAACAAAAUGGCCUUCAAAUUGAGACUGAACAAUUCAGUGGUACCAUAAAGGUUGGUGUUGCACAGGUGUGUGGGGACAGUCUUGCCCUGAAUUCUCUUCUUGGUUUUUCAGGGAGUUUUUGAGCAAAUACUGUCUGUUGUUUGUGCAAAACUAACAAACAAGUUCUCUGCAGCCAGAUAGCAAGAGGAUCUAAAUUUGCUGGGCAAUGCACCGAAUUAUAGUCAGGAUUUACAGACUAACAUCCUACAGAAACCGGCUUAAAAAGGAGAUGUGUCCUAGACAAGCUUGCUUUCUUCAGUGUUGUUGACAAUGUUACACCUGAUAUUUUAGAGGGUUUUGGUUUGCUGGAGGUGAAACUAGCGCUGUCUGAAUCAUAGCUGAAGCUUACAUUAGUCUGGAUACUGUAAACUACAGGUUAACAAGCUUUGAUUAUGGUUUUGUUGAUAGUGUACAAUAAACUAUCAGUCCUGUCAAAUCAUGAACUUAGAAACCCCAACAGUGCCAUGCGUCAGACUGAAGCACAAAUGUAAUGUCUUCCCCUUCUAAUAGGUGACUUCCCACUAAGCAAAGACACUUCCAAAAGAUGCCAAUUUAAUGUAUUUUAAAUUUAGUAUUUCUUGAAUUAGCUAUAUUUUUAGGCAGCCUUUUACAGGCUCAUGUGAGCGCAAAGAACACUAGAUAAAGCUUAUAAAAUAUGAAAUAUAAUAUUGUGAUGUUACGUGUUACGUGACAAACUUAAAUAUCUAAAAGAGAUCAACAUAAAUUUCACGUUUACGUCACUGCACCAUAACGCAAUAAUGCCCCUUGUGUGAUCAAAAGCUUUGUAAAUCAUACAUUAGUGUUACGCUUUCUGUAUGUCUAAGGAAAAAAAUAUAUUAAAAAGUGACACAAAAGAACAUUCCAUGUGAUGUGUUUUUUUUUUUUUUUUUUUUGGUACUGUCAAUAUUUUUUGAAUAUUUAUUUAUAUAUACAAAAAUGAUUUAAACACCCAAAUAAAUUUUCUCACAAAAAUACACGUAAUAUUUACAUCUUUUGACUCAGGACACAUAGGACUCCUUGUCAUUUUCUUUUGUAUUAAAAAGAGAUUUCCUGAACCUGUUUUGCACGUCUUGUAGACGUCCAAGAAAACUCCUAGUCGGACGUUCAAAUAUUGAACUGCAUAUCUACAUCCAACAUCCCUAUUCAGACAUUCAGAUAUUAAACCAGUUUUGUAUAUCCACAGAUGUCCAAAAAGGGUCCUAGUCAGAUGUUUAGAUACUUAACCAGUUAUGCACUUCCAAAAGGGGUCCCCUAGUCAGACGUUCAGAUUGAACCUGUAUUGCACAUCCAGCAGACGUACAAAAGUGGGUCUGAACUUACGGACGUGAUUGCAACGUCUUCCUGACUUUGCAUACACUCUUUCUAGAGUUGUUCCUUCACUUACAUUUAAAGGGUUAGUUCACCCAAAAAUAAAAAUUCUGUCAUUAAUUACUCAUCCUCAUGUCGCUCCACACCUGUAAGACAAUAAUUAAAAUAUUUUGAUGAAAUCCAGGAGUGUUUUUUUAUCUUCCAUAGAAAGCAAUGAAAUUACCACAUUCAAGGUCCAGAUAAGUAGUAAAAACAUUGUUAAAAUAGU